AGUGCAUUGAGAUAGUACAAGGGAAAAGCAAUAACAGAAUGCAGAAUAAAGUGUUACAGAGGAAGUGCAGUGCAGGCAGACAAUAAGGUGCAAAGCCAUAACGAGGUAGAUUGUGAGGUCAAGAGUCCAUCUUAUCGUACUAGGAAACUGUUCAAUAGUCUUAUAACAGAGGGAUAGCUGUCCUUGAGCCUGGUGGUACGUGCUUUCAGGCUUUUGGAUCUUCUGCCCAAUGGGAGGAAGCAGAAGAAAGAGUGUCCAGGGUGGGUGGGAUCUUUGAUCAUGUUGUCUGCUUUACCGAGGCAGCGAGAAUUGUAGACAGAAUCCAUGGAGGCAAGGCUGGUUUCCGUGAUGUUCUGAGCUGUGUCCACAACCCUCUGCAGUUUCUUGCGCUCACAGGCAGAACAGUUGACGUACCAAGCUGUGAUGUGUCCGGAUAGGAUGCUUUCUAUGGUGCCUCUAUAAAAAUUGGUUGUACUCCAAGCACAAGUCACGCUGUCAGAGAUUCUACCUUUAAUGAGAUGAUCUUGUCUGCUCUCUCGGAUCCCCUGGGACUAUCUCGGAGACCAUAGAAGUUAUCCACAUUAACAAAACAGAAGACACUGCCUGACCUGCUGAAUGUUUCCAGCAGAUUCUGCUUUAUUUCAUCCAGCAGGACCCCUUUAUUUAGCUAUUGUGGAAACCAGAAGUGAAGGGACAUCUUGAAACUCUGGAAAAAGCCUUUGAUAACGUACAUUUUUGUCUACACACUGCUGGCAGACAAUUCUGCUGGCCAUAGUUAUUCCUGAACCUGGUGGUGUGGGACCUCAAGCUUCUGUUCCUCCUGCCCGAUGGUAGCAGCGAGAAGAGGGCAUGACCCGCUUGGCGGGGAUCCUUGAUGAUAGAUACCACCUUCUUGAGGCAGAGCCUGCUGUAGAUGCUGUCAGAGGUGGGAAGGGCUGUGCCCGUGAUGGACUGGGCUGUGUGCACAACUCUCUGCAAUCACUUGCAUUCCUGUGCAUUAGAAUUGCUGUAGCAGGCUGUCAUGCAACCAGUCAGGUUAGUGUGGUUAUGAAUGCCUAUAUGUGUGAAUAUGAAUAUAACAAUAUUACGGCACAACUUCAAUGCCCAUGACUCACUUUUUUACUUACUAAUCAGGAACACAGUUCUCCUCAUCCAGGUUCCCAAGCAUCCACGUGUGACUAACAACUAACAUAGUGAACAACUUGAGCCUUGUCCACCACCACAAUGAAAGCACUGAGGGAAUAGUGCAAUGCAGGGGGAUGCAAUCCUUUCACGAAGAGAGGCAAAAUGGUUUCAGGUGGAUGUAGUUGAUGGGUAUCAAUCACCCUGGUCCCUGGAGAUUAAUGCAGGACACACCUCUGCAGGUGAUCACGCUGACUGAGCCUUGAUCCGUGUAGAAAAGGAAAGAUGCAGGAAUCAUCUGAAGUUGUAUCUGGUAUGUUUGUUCUUCAUCAAAAGACAAGCUUCGCGUGGGUUUAACAUCUGAACAUUUUAUCAACCAACAACAGGCUGGCUUGCUUUUCCCUCUCUUUUUACAGCCACUUCCAGUUCCCCCCAUGUGGCCCCUUUGCAUUGCCUACUGGGAACUGUAGUUCUUAAUUAUAACUACAUAAUAACACAGUAUCGAUAACUGGAUAACCAACAAGCUUUUGGGAAAUCCAUUCAAUAACGAUGAUUCAAUUUGCUCACGAGCAAAAAUUUUGCAUAAACAUUUCUUCUCCAACUGAAAGAAAGUAAUCAUAAAUCAAGCAAACCAGAUCAAAGCUCCUGGAUCAAGUGCAAAACCUCAGUACAAUUCCCCACUCUUUCCUUUUUGAGUUACAAAUCAUUAAUUUAAACCUGCCUUAUCAGGAAUGGAACUACCUCUCUAACGAAGGAGAUAUGUGUGUGUGGAACUGAUGGGUAAUGUUAAAUUAUUGAUGGAUUGUUGAAAGUAUG